UACAGAGGGUGCAAGCGUUAAUCGGAAUUACUGGGCGUAAAGCGUGCGUAGACGGUUAUGUAAGUCAGAUGUGAAAGCCUCGGGCUCAACCUGGGAAUUGCAUUUGAGACUGCAUAGCUAGGGUGCGGAAGAGGGAAGCGGAAUUUCCGGUGUAGCGGUGAAAUGCGUAGAUAUCGGAAGGAACACCAGUGGCGAAAGCGGCUUCCUGGUCCAGCACCGACGUUCAGGCACGAAAGCGUGGGGAGCAAACAGG
rnacentral:rRNA from 1 species